UGAGGAAUAUUAGCACAAAUGGAGGAAACUCUGAUGCAGCAACGCCGCGUGGAGGAUGACGCAUUUCGGUGUGUAAACUCCUUUUAUGAGUCAAGAAAAUGACGGUAGCUCAUGAAUAAGCACCGGCUAACUCCGUGCCAGCAGCCGCGGUAAUACGGAGGGUGCAAGCGUUAUUCGGAAUCACUGGGCGUAAAGGACGCGUAGGCGGGAAGCCAAGUCUGAUGUGAAAUCCUAUGGCUUAACCAUAGAACUGCAUUGGAAACUGGUUACCUAGAGUAUGGGAGGGGGAGAUGGAAUUAGUGGUGUAGGGGUAAAAUCCGUAGAUAUCACUAGGAAUACCGAAAGCGAAGGCGAUCUCCUGGAACAAUACUGACGCUAAGGCGUGAAAGCGUGGGGAGCAAACG
rnacentral:rRNA from 1 species